GCAAGUCGAACGCGAACGUUUCCUUCGGGGAACUAGUAGAGUGGCGCACGGGUGAGUAACGCGUAAGUAAUCUACCCUGGUAUCUGGGAUAACCCACCGAAAGGUGAGCUAAUACCGGAUAAUCUGAUUUAUCAGGAAAGGUGGCCUCUUCAUGAAAGCUACUGUACUAGGAGGAGCUUGCGUACCAUUAGCUAGUUGGUAGGGUAAUGGCCUACCAAGGCGACGAUGGUUAGCGGGUCUGAGAGGAUGAUC
rnacentral:rRNA from 1 species